rnacentral:rRNA from 1 species
UACAGAGGUCUCAAGCGUUGUUCGGAUUCAUUGGGCGUAAAGGGUGCGUAGGCGGCGCGGUAAGUCGGGUGUGAAAUCUCGGAGCUUAACUGCGAAACUGCAUUCGAUACUGCCGUGCUUGAGGACUGGAGAGGAGACUGGAAUUUACGGUGUAGCGGUGAAAUGCGUAGAUAUCGUAAGGAAGACCAGUGGCGAAGGCGGGUCUCUGGACAGUUCCUGACGCUGAGGCACGAAGGUCAGGGGAGCAAACGGG